UUAAACAGGGUUUUAUUAUGUAGCCCUCACUGGCCUAGAGCUUCCUAUCCUAUGUAGACCAAGUUGGCAUCAACUCGCAGGUCCAGCUCCUGGCAGUCUUUGGGGACCCUAAGAUCUGGACAUAAUUUUGGGGACUCAUUCCAGAUCCCCAAGAUCCCCUAAGGCCCUCGGCAUGUGGAGCUGAACACUGGCCAAUUUCCUAGAUCAAAUCAAAUUCUGAAACUCACAGCCAAGCAUCAGGCAGAGACUGGGAGUCCUGAGGAAGAGUGUGAGUGAAGGUUAGAAGUACCUUGAAGGGACAAGAAUGCUACAAGAAGACCAACAGUGUCAAAUAAUCUAGACCCAAGACAGCUUACACAGAUGGAAACACCAACCAAAGAUCAUGCAUGGACUUGACCUCUAUCCCCUACCUACAUGUAACUGAUGGGCAUUUUGAUCUUCAUAAGCCAUGACAACCAGAAGCAUGUUAUUUUCACUGUUGCAAACUUACAUGGGAAGAUCCAGAUGACAGCAACCUGGAGCCCCUGUGUGGGUGAAUGCCACGUUUCCUCUUGCUUCUUGUCUAAUGCUGAACAUACAUCUGAGAGUAUAUUGUAUUUGCGUAUUGAUGGAACUGCUGAUGUUACAGAAUUGAUUUUCGUUGAACACAUGUUAUAGCUAAA